UCCCUGAUGAUCUAGUGGUGAGGAUUCAGCACUCUCACUGCUGUGGCCUGGGUUUGUUUCCCAGUCAGGGAA